AGUGAACGCUGGCGGUAGGCCUAACACAUGCCAGUCGAACGGCAGCACAGUAAGAGCUUGCUCUUACGGGUGGCGAGUGGCGGACGGGUGAGGAAUACAUCGGAAUCUACUUUUUCGUGGGGGAUAACGUAGGGAAACUUACGCUAAUACCGCAUACGACCUACGGGUGAAAGCAGGGGAUCUUCGGACCUUGCGCGAUUGAAUGAGCCGAUGUCGGAUUAGCUAGUUGGCGGGGUAAAGGCCCACCAAGGCGACGGUCUGUAGCUGGUCUGAGAGGAUGAUCAGCCACACUGGAACUGAGACACGGUCCAGACUCCUACGGGAGGCAGCAGUGGGGAAUAUUGGACAAUGGGCGCAAGCCUGAUCCAGCCAUACCGCGUGGGUGAAGAAGGCCUUCGGGUUGUAAAGCCCUUUUGUUGGGAAAGAAAAGCAGCAGGUUAAUACCCCGCUGUUCUGACGGUACCCAAAGAAUAAGCACCGGCUAACUUCGUG
rnacentral:rRNA from 1 species